rnacentral:rRNA from 1 species
GACAGAGGGUGCAAGCGUUGUUCGGAUUUACUGGGCGUAAAGCGCGUGUAGGCGGCUUUGCAAGUCGGAUGUGAAAGCCCACGGCUCAACCGUGGAAGUGCAUCCGAAACUGCAUGGCUGGAGUCUCGGAGAGGAAGGUGGAAUGCUUGGUGUAGAGGUGAAAUUCGUAGAUAUCAAGCAGAACACCUGCGGCGAAGGCGGCCUUCUGGACGAUGACUGACGCUGAGACGCGAAAGCGUGGGGAGCAAACAGG